rnacentral:rRNA from 1 species
CAGUCGCCGCGGUAAUACGAAGGGGGCAAGCGUUGUUCGGAAUUAUUGGGCGUAAAGGGUGCGUAGGCGGUUUGGCAAGUUUGGUGUGAAAUCUUCGGGCUCAACUCGAAGUCUGCAUCGAAAACUGCCGGGCUUGAGUAUGGGAGAGGUGAGUGGAAUUUCCGGUGUAGCGGUGAAAUGCGUAGAUAUCGGAAGGAACACCUGUGGCGAAAGCGGCUCACUGGACCAUAACUGACGCUGAUGCACGAAAGCUAGGGGAGCAAACAGGAUUAGAUACCCCAGUAGUCCCUGUCUCUUAUAC